UUCCGGUGGAUCCUGCCGGACCCGACUGCUAUCGGAUUGAGAUUUAGCCAUGCGAGUCGAACGUCCCCCUGUUGCGGGGGGCGUGGCGUACGGCUCAGUAACACGUAGUCAACCUGCCCUGGAGACAAGGACAACCCCGGGAAACUGGGAUUAAUCCUUGAUAGGUCAUCUCAUCUGGAAGGAGAGAUGGCUUAAAGGGGUACGCGGGCUUCUUCCGCGAAUCUGCUCCAGGAUGGGACUGCGUCCGAUCAGGCUGUUGGCGGGGUAAUGGCCCACCAAACCUGUAACCGGUACGGGCCCUGAGAGAGGUGGCCCGGAGAUGGACACUGAGAGAAGGGUCCAGGUCCUACGGGGCGCAGCAGGCGCGAAACCUUCGCAAUGCGCGAAAGCGUGACGAGGUUAAUCCGAGUGACUUCCGCUGAGGAGGUCUUUUGUCAGCUGUAAAUAGGCAGGCGAAUAAGGGGAGGGCAAGCCUGGUGUCAGCCGCCGCGGUAAUACCAGCUCCUCGAGUGGUCGGGGCGAUUAUUGGGCCUAAAGCAUCCGUAGCCGGUUCCGUAGGUCCUCUGUUAAAUCCAACCGCUUAACGGUUGACCUGCAGAGGAUACCGCGGGACUAGGAGGCGGGAGAGGCGGACGGUACUCCGCGUGUAGGGGUAAAAUCCUUUGAUCCGCGGAAGACCACCAGUGGCGAAGGCGGUCCGCCAGAACGCGCUCGACGGUGAGGGAUGAAAGCUGGGGGAGCGAACCGGAUUAGAUACCCGGGUAGUCCCAGCCGUAAACGAUGCUAGCUAGAUGAUUCAUUCGCAAGUCGCGAAUGAAGUGUCGCAGGGAAGCCGUUAAGCUAGCCGCCUGCGGAGUACGGUCGCAAGACUGAAACUUAAAGGAAUUGGCGGGGGAGCA
rnacentral:rRNA from 1 species